GACGAACGCUGGCGGCGUGCUUAACACAUGCAAGUCGAACGGAAAGGCCCUGCUCUUGCGGGGUGCUCGAGUGGCGAACGGGGGAGUAUCACGUGUGUAUCCUGCCCUUGUCUUUGGGAUAACUCUAGGAAACAGGGGCUCAUAUCGGAUAGGAUCUCUUGCUCCACGGUGGGGGUUGGUAAGUUUCGGCGGUGCUGUAUGGUCUCGCGGGUUAUCGGCUUGUUUGUGUGGUUGUGGCUUACCAAGCCUUUGACGGGUAGCCGGCCUGAGAGGGUGACCGGCGACAUUGGGACUGAGAUACGGCCCAGACUCCGACGGGAGGGAGAAGUGGGGAAUAUUGCACAAUGGGCGGAGGCCGGAUGAAGCAACGCCGCGGGCGGGAUGACGGCCUUAGGGUUGUAGACCGAUUUCGCCUGUGACGAAGCGUGAGUGACGGUAAUGGGUAGAGAAGCACCGGCUAACUACGUG
rnacentral:rRNA from 1 species